rnacentral:lncRNA from 1 species
UGGAAUCUUGCUUGGCAAAGAGUGAGAGCUCAAUGAAUAUGUACCGAAUGGAUGACCUCACUGGAGUCCUGAGCAGACGGAAAGCCCCACGUCAGGAGGCGGGAGACACUCGGAGCAGAGAAACGGGGACAAAGCACAAAUCCAUGGAGGUCUGACGAUGCUCGUGCUGGGAGAGAGAGUCUAGGCUAUUAAAACUGGCCAGGACAGAGCAAGACUCAGCCUACCCAGGAAGGACAGCAGGCUGGCCCGUUCCUCCUGCAAGGCCACCCCAGCCAGGGCAGCGGCUCUGUCCCCAAGACCCCCCGGCAGCCUUGCUGAGGGUCUGGCCCUGGCCCUGCAGAAAGGAGACCACAUCAGCCUGGACUGGAGCAGGCACAGCUGUCCUGAGUCCCCAGUUCAAAUCCCAUCUCC